AGAAAACUAUAUAUGUGAAGAGAAAACAUAUCAUAAUUAUUUUUAAACACUUCCUUGGUGUUCUCAGGGAAGGCCUGCCAUGCUUUGUGACCUGUGAAGUGGAUGGCACAUCUCAUUUGCACUCCUCAGUACUGGACUGAAAGGUUUUCUUCCUCUAGUUACAGCUUUACCAAGACUGUCAUGCUUCACAGUGAGGAUGGUGUCAAGUGGUGUUUGCAUUCUAUGGAUCUGGUGUUGCAUUGCCUGCUGUUUAAAAACAAAUUGGCUCCUAUGCUUUUAAAAGUUCAUCAAGAUCUCUGA
rnacentral:lncRNA from 1 species